rnacentral:sRNA from 2 species
UGUAAAUACCCUCCUUGGGUGUUUCCUCCCUAGACUUAGGCCGCCUCACGGCGGUCUUUUUUUGGCCGGGA